GUGGUAGGGCCCUGGAUUGUGAAUCCAGUUGUCGCGGGUUCGAAUCCCGUCAUUCACCCCA
rnacentral:tRNA from 1 species